rnacentral:lncRNA from 10 species
CGUACUUCGUGCCUGAGAAGCAAAGUUCAGAGGAGGGGAGCCCAGCUUGCUGGUUCCUGAAGGCGCCCUCUGCUCCAGGGCCUGGGGCAGGGGAGGCUCAAUGUGGCCAGCUGCUCCCUGUACCCCUCCUCCUGCAGGGCUGGUCCUUGGCAGACUCCCCACCCUCAACCCCACAACUCACUCACUCCUGGCCUUCCAGGCCGGAGAGUUCAGCCCCUGGGCUGGGUGGCCCUAGACCCAGGCUCCACAAAGCCACAGCAUGUGCACUACUCCCCUUCCUGGUGCUCAACUUCACUGAAAGGCACGGGACCCAAACUUUCUACAUUUUGCUAAAGUAAUUUCACAUAUUUGUUUUUUAGCCAACACGGAUAUGCUAUGGAAUACAAUGUAAAACCUUCGGGCAUUUUAAAACACAGCUGGAGACUUGGAUGGAACUCAUACUUGUCACCAGCUGCUUAGAGCUCAUCCUUGGAGUGCCCUCAUAUCCCUGGCCUUCAGGACGGGUGGUGGGAAAGCCCGGAAGCAGAGGACACACCUAUGCAUGUGUCUGUUGCCACAGAGUUUGCAUUGCUGUGAGCCCCCAAGUCCCCAGCUGAGCCUAGAGCAGCUGUACAACUCUGCCCAGCCUCGCCCCGGGAAGUUGUGGCCUAGGCGCUCACCUCGGGGCAGUAGAAGCCAGCGGGACAGGGGUGCCUGCUGUAGUUGGUGACGUUCUCGGGGCAGUAGUAGCCAGUGGGGCAAGGGAAGCAGGAGGCCUGGCCAGUCAGGUAGCUGUAGGAGCCAGCAGGGCAGGGCUGUGGGAGGCUGGUUCCCCUGGGGCAGAAGUGGCCUCGGGGACAGGGGCCCCCCUGCCCUGAGUGGCCUGAGGGGAGGAAGGAAGCUAAGUGAGGAGUGCACACCCCAGUCCCAGCAGAGAGUGCCAGAGCUGGGGGAGGCUUGUGCCCCGGCACCAGAACCAAAUGUGGACUCCAGUUUAGGUCAGAGGUUUGUUUUUGAGAGGAGCCGUGCUUGUGACUGGCAUUUGUACCACACCUUACAGAUCAAAAAGCAUGUGUUUUACACAAACGUCACAUUAUUCGGGCCUCAGAAAAAUCCCUGUUUGGUAGGUGGACAAGAGCAAUGAUUGGUUUUUACUGAGGAUGAAGUCCUAAGACGUUAGCGGGCGAGCCAGGAUCUCCCUGGACUCUGCCUUGGCUCAGAGCUGGUUUUCCAGACAUCCCUCCCAGUGCUCUUUCUAGGACACACCAUGAUUGUGCACUUUUCAGUAAAACAGGCUGACAGACCAGGGCUUUCCCACUGAGUUGUACUAAGCCAGGCCAGCUGCUUCUGUUUUGGUCUUUUGUCCAGGUUCAGCAGCCUGAACGGGGGCUUGGCUCUGGCUCUCCAGUCCUCAUCCAUGAUGCCCCAGAACUCAACCUUCCAUCUGAGAGCUGAACUCGCUCCUCCAAUGUUCUCUGAAUAAUGGAAGUGUCAGAGCAGAGGGAUUCAAGGAUCCUGGCCAAGGAUCAGCUGCCCUAUCUGCCUUCACAUGUUCCUGAGGACCCAGAGACUCCAGGCUGCCCCCUGACCACUGGAGAUGGCUGCAAAGGGGGCGUCCUCUGGAAGAUGGUGGCCAAAGGUGCAAAAAGAAGGUGGAGGAGCUCAGGUGAAAGCACUGGUGGCCUCACAGCAUGCAUGAA